rnacentral:rRNA from 1 species
GAUGAACGCUGGCGGCGUGCCUAAUACAUGCAAGUCGAGCGAACAGACGAGGAGCUUGCUCCUCUGACGUUAGCGGCGGACGGGUGAGUAACACGUGGAUAACCUACCUAUAAGACUGGGAUAACUUCGGGAAACCGGAGCUAAUACCGGAUAAUAUUUUGAACCGCAUGGUUCAAUAGUGAAAGACGGUUUUGCUGUCACUUAUAGAUGGAUCCGCGCUGCAUUAGCUAGUUGGUAAGGUAACGGCUUACCAAGGCAACGAUGCGUAGCCGACCUGAGAGGGUGAUCGGCCACACUGGAACUGAGACACGGUCCAGACUCCUAAGGGAGGCAGCAGUAGGGAAUCUUCCGCAAAGGGCGAAAGCCUGACGGAGCAACGCCGCGUGAGUGAUGAAGGUCUUCGGAUCGUAAAACUCUGUUAUUAGGGAAGAACAAAUGUGUAAGUAACUAUGCACGUCUUGACGGUACCUAAUCAGAAAGCCACGGCUAACUACGUG